UACGGAAGGUGCAAGCGUUAAUCGGAAUUACUGGGCGUAAAGCGCACGUAGGCGGCUUGGUAAGUCGGGUGUGAAAGCCCCGGGCUCAACCUGGGAAUGGCACUCGAUACUGCUGGGCUGGAGUACGAGAGAGGGGGGUGGAAUUCCAGGUGUAGCGGUGAAAUGCGUAGAGAUCUGGAGGAACACCGGUGGCGAAGGCGGCCCCCUGGCUCGAUACUGACGCUGAUGUGCGAAAGCGUGGGGAGCAAACAGG
rnacentral:rRNA from 2 species